rnacentral:misc_RNA from 1 species
AAGUCGUAACAAGGUUUCCGUAGGUGAACCUGCGGAAGGAUCAUGAACACGUAUCCAAACGUUAAAACCCCCCCGUGAACCUUCAUCCUGCUCUUGUAACCCGCGUAGUUCGCAAUCUCUGAUAAAUCAUAGCCCUGAACGUUGUAGUGACUCAGAGACUUCUGGCUACGUGCGAACAUUGGAACAGUUACAAUCGAGCGGUAGUUCUAUAGGCAAUGUUUCCCCAAGCAGUCAGUGUCGGAAAGUGUCAUUGAUUGUGCAAGGAUAGCGCUUCUACGAUUCCUGUAGACCGUACACUCUAAUGUGAAGCUCAAUGUAAUACAUUGGGUAAAAAAACCGAACAACUGUUAACAAUGGAUAUCUUGGUUCUC